rnacentral:rRNA from 1 species
UAAAGACUCUCGGCAACGGAUAUCUCGGCUCUUGCAUCGAUGAAGAACGUAGCGAAAUGCGAUACUUGGUGUGAAUUGCAGAAUCCCGUGAACCAUCGAGUCUUUGAACGCAAGUUGCGCCCGAAGCCAUUAGGUUGAGGGCACGCCUGCCUGGGUGUUGCAC